GCACAGGUGGUUCAGUGGUAGAAUUCUCGCCUGCCACGCGGGAGGCCCGGGUUUGAUUCCCGGCCAGUGCA
rnacentral:tRNA from 2 species